rnacentral:rRNA from 1 species
CUUCCGUAAGGGGACCUGCGGAAGGAUCAUUACUGAGUGAGGGCCCUCUGGGUCCAACCUCCCACCCGUGUUUAUUGUACCUUGUUGCUUCGGUGCGCCCGCCUCACGGCCGCCGGGGGGCUUCUGCCCCCGGGUCCGCGCGCACCGGAGACACCAUUGAACUCUGUCUGAAGAUUGCAGUCUGAGCAUAAACUAAAUAAGUUAAAACUUUCAACAACGGAUCUCUUGGUUCCGGCAUCGAUGAAGAACGCAGCGAAAUGCGAUAACUAAUGUGAAUUGCAGAAUUCAGUGAAUCAUCGAGUCUUUGAACGCACAUUGCGCCCCCUGGUAUUCCGGGGGGCAUGCCUGUCCGAGCGUCAUUGCUGCCCUCAAGCACGGCUUGUGUGUUGGGCUCCGUCCCCCCGGGGACGGGUCCGAAAGGCAGCGGCGGCACCGAGUCCGGUCCUCGAGCGUAUGGGGCUUUGUCACCCGCUCUGUAGGCCCGGCCGGCGCCAGCCGACAACCAAUCAUCCUUUUUUCAGGUUGACCUCGAUCAGGUAGCUGCCCCAAUUUUC